CGGAUGGGUGAGUAGCGCGUGGGUAACCUACCUAUAAGACUGGGAUAACUUCGGGAAACCGGAGCUAAUACCGGAUAAUAUUUCGAACCGCAUGGUUCGAUAGUGAGAGAUGGUUUUGCUAUCACUUAUAGAUGGACCCGCGCCGUAUUAGCUAGUUGGUAAGGUAACGGCUUACCAAGGCGACGAUACGUAGCCGACCUGAGAGGGUGAUCGGCCACACUGGAACUGAGACACGGUCCAGACUCCUACGGGAGGCAGCAGCG
rnacentral:rRNA from 1 species